rnacentral:misc_RNA from 1 species
CCAAAGGUAUGUAUUGGCCAACCGGAAAUGUUUUUAUGUUGUUUUUUCUUUUCUUUUUUACAUACUCUGUAGCAAGUACCAGGCCAAAUUUUAUUGUUAUGUUUUUGAGAUUAUUUACAAACGUGUACUGUAAUGUUACUUACGCUUCAUCUCAUUUUUUCUUUCUGAAUCAGACACAUUGCCGAUAUUAAUUAUGAUAACACAUAAGUUAUGAUAAUUUUAUCCCACCGGUACACUUUAUAGUCCUUUCUUUAUUUUACUCAAACAAUACUUAAUGAAUUCAUGUUCUACAAUGUUUUUUUUCAUUGUUCCUUAUAUUGCUGAUUAAUAUUUACUCGAUAUGUAAAAUGUUGAUAAUUUUUUUUGAAGAGUUGAGGAGAGAUAAAGAAAAAGAUAUCAUAAAACAAUUCAUUGUUAGGUGAUAAUGUCAGUUUGUAUAUUAAUUCUGAUGUCAAUAAAUACAUAAAAACG